CAGCCAUCAUUUAAAGAAAGCGUAAUAGCUCACUGGUCGAGUCGGCCUGCGCGGAAGAUGUAACGGGGCUAAACCAUGCACCGAAGCUGCGGCAGCGACGCUUAUGCGUUGUUGGGUAGGGGAGCGUUCUGUAAGCCUGUGAAGGUGUACUGUGAGGUAUGCUGGAGGUAUCAGAAGUGCGAAUGCUGACAUAAGUAACGAUAAAGCGGGUGAAAAGCCCGCUCGCCGGAAGACC
rnacentral:rRNA from 1 species